UCAGGGUGAAAGCUCUGGACUUGAACCCCAUUACCUCAAAACAAAAAACAAACCAACAAGCAAACCUCCACCUGGGCCAAAUCGAAACCCCACUCUGAUAGUAUCCCUGGUCCCAGGGGAACGAACAAGCUUGGCCAUCAGCACUUCCGGCCGCCCACUUCCGGGCUUUCAUCCGUCUGCCCUGGGCAGUGACCGGGCGCCCGCAGGGAAUUAUGAGAGGAGAAGGGAGCCCGGCCCCGCGGGGUCCAGGGCUCUGGUGGCCGAGUCCGCGCUGGGCGUCGGCGGGCGGGGGGAGGCGAGGCGGGGGGAGACUCGGCCCUCCGUGGGCCGUGGCCAGCACGGGGCGGGGCUGUUCAGCAGGGAUCGAUCCCUUGUUCGGUUUCCGCAGAGCUGCGCUGCCUGCCUGUGGGCGGGGCGGGGCCGAGUCCCUGGGCGUGGGGCCCGCGAAUGGGCUGAGCGCCCAGCCGCCCGCGGCCUGCAGAGCGGACCAGGUGGCCGCGGGGAGCACGUUCCUGCCACACUUGAAACGCACCAGAAUGUUAGUAGCCAGCAAUCACCCCCUGCCCCGUGACACCAGCUGCUGGUGGGCAUCGCAUCUGUCAGAGCAAUGGCUUCAGGUUCCACUCAGGAUUCCACCCUUUUUAAUGCCUGAAGAGUUUCCGUGGGGCAGAGCACCGUGUUUCCUUUCUCCAUGCUUCAGUCGGUGGACACUUGAUUUAUUUCUAUUUCUUGGUUACUCUUAGUAGUGCAAAAUAAACGCAGGAAUACAGAUUUCUCUUCCAUA